rnacentral:rRNA from 1 species
UACGGAGGGUGCGAGCGUUAUUCGGAAUAACUGGGCGUAAAGGGCACGCAGGCGGGUGUUUAAGUGAGAUGUGAAAUCCCCGGGCUUAACCUGGGAAUAGCAUUUGAGACUGGGAGUCUAGAGUACUUUAGGGAGGAGUGGAAUUCCACGUGUAGCGGUGAAAUGCGUAGAGAUGUGGAGGAAUACCGAAGGCGAAGGCAGCCCCUUGGGAAUGUACUGACGCUCAUGUGCGAAAGCGUGGGGAGCAAACAGG